rnacentral:tRNA from 1 species
GCCGCAAUAGCUCAAUUGGCAGAGCAACUGAUUUGUAAUCAGUAGGUUCCGGGUUCGAUUCCUGGCUGCGGCACCA